UGCUAGUGGAUGAAGGACUUAUGACGCAGCAGUGGGUACCCCAUCAUGCGUGCAAUUUGUCCAUCUCCAAGAAUAACCACUAAUCUCUCUUUUGACAAAGCCAACAACACUACAUACAAGGAAAAGCAUUUCUCCCCUAAACAUAUUAUGAAUCUCUUUAAUUAUGGCUUUGGUAGCCAGUGUGAUUUUUGAGUUCUAAAUGACGAAGACUAGGUAAGUAAGCCUUUUGAGUGUAGAAAGAGUUAGCUAAAAGUAAGAGAGUAGUGAUCUUGGAAGAGUAAGAG
rnacentral:lncRNA from 1 species